AUCGGACUGAGUACAGGGGGGCUGGGGGAGGAAGGUAAAAGAGAAAAAAGAAAGAAGGAAGGAAAACAUACCUCCUGGCAAAACCCAGAGCACCACUUACACAACAUCUUUCCCCGCUACAUUAUUUAUAGCGUGACUGAAACAUUUAUUCCUCCCCUGCUCUUCCAAAGAGCACCAGUGUUUCCGCUGAGCUGUAACAAGUACAGCAAGGCCGGCUGCAAGGCUGUAUUGCUCAGCGCCAUCACCAAACAUUGGAGACACAACAGUGCACCCCAGAAAAUGCCGUGGCUCCCAGCAGCCGGGAGGAGGGGCCGGGCCUGGGAAGAGAGAGGGCGUAGUUCCAGGAUGCUGGGAGAGGAGGCCAGGGGAGGGGAUCAGGACUCUCAGUCCAGAGAGGAAUGGUGGCAGCGUUUCAGACAAACAGCUCAGGGGCCCACAUUCAGCCAGACUUGCAGAGAACCCGAGGCCUAGACCGGCGAGGGGCCGUGGUAGGCAAUUAGCCAAAUCUACAACAAUGACACUCUAAGGAGCGGUGGCUGCUGACAGGCUUUCUGAGCAGGGUGGCUGGAAGGAUGAAAUGCAGUGAUGGAUCUGGAGUGCCUAGCAGAUGCGUGGCACGUGGUAAGCUCUCCAUAAUGCAGGGUGCUUUGCAGUCUACAGAUCCCACAGGAUCAGUUCAUUCCAGAGCGGCCCCCAGCCAGCUGCUGAGUGUCUCGGGAGUCUGGUGCAAGCUCUCAGCAAAAACUGGCUUCGGCAUGAGGAUAUGUAAAGGCACCUUGUAAUCUGCAAAGCACAGUGUGCCCAUUGGUUGUUUUUGUGCCUCAUUAUGCUAUAGCCCAGCGGGUACCUGGGAGGCUGGCCAGGUCCCUCUCUAAUUGCAGGAUGCUGGCAAGUGAGCCCAGGCAGGCACCUGUGCCAGUCCCUGAACGGCACUGGGUUCCAGGCAGAGAGAGCUUGCCCUCCCUGACUCUCCUACCAAUGCUCCAGCUCUAGCUUCCAUCUGACUGCAAAGCAACCUGGUCUCACACCAGCCACUUCUGCUGCUCAAUGCCAUCUCCUUCCGGCUGUUCCUGCUGCUUCAAAGAGUGGGGAGUAGAGAGAAGAGAAGCGAGGUGCGAACAAUAGCCAACUUGCCUAAAACUCUGAUGCUGGAGUUAAUAAAAAGAAAUGAACCCAUUCAGGCUAGCACCCAAAUUACAGUCUCAGUUUCACUGUAGUGAUAGAAGGCGG
rnacentral:lncRNA from 1 species